UGGACAAUUGCCUCCAUCUUUAAUGGGUUAAGAGACUACAAAUUCCAUUUCUCUAUUUCAACACUGUUCUGUUUUUGGCUGCCAAAGUGUGAAGGUUCUAUAUUACCAGGGCUUCCAUCAGAAAUUUUGGGGUCACUUAAACAGCUCAAGGUCUGGGAGCCAGGGUCCACCCUUGAAUCAACCUACGGUGCCCGCUGCGGAGUCCAGCUAAAGUACCAGCCCACGAAUCAGUCUACAGUGCCUGUCCCUGAGUCUGUCCACAAGGAUGCAGUGUGUAUAGUGGGUGAUGUGUAUAGUGGAUGCCAAGUGUGUGUGGGAUAGGAUCGAGGCUGAAUUCUGUGGAAACAGGUUUUUUUUUUAAUUAUCAUUAAUUUAUGAAUUUUAUGCCCCUCUCACUACAUCUUACCUGUGACCGGGGGGAGAAUAUUACACUCCAUUGUGCUCUGGUGGCAUUUUUCAGGCCGCCACUUAGUGAACAGGGGGCCCAGCCAACAUGAUCUUCAGUUUUCAGCAGUUCCUCUAUCCAACUCUCGCGAGUCUGGUCUGCGUGUUGUGCGGAGAGUUGCCAUGGUAACCUGCUGCAAAGCUCUGACGGCCGGAGGCUCGUUAGAAUUGGGAGAGCUUCUGGAUGCUGAUGAUCAUGUGUGCUGGGCCCCUUCUUCACUAUACUGGUUGAGAGGAUCCACAGGUGACAGUGGUGGAACCACCCUCUAGCACAAGGGUGGACGAAAUGUAGCUGCCCAUCUGUUGUACAAGUCCCACAAUGCUUUGCCAGCUGCGGAUCAACAAUUUGCCCAUCCUUGCAGGGUUGUAUUUAGCAUCGAGCAAUGUUUGUGUGUUUGAAUUUAAGGCAUGUUUUUGUAUGGAGUAUGUUUUUGUUGGUGUUUGAAUGCAGGCGUACAUUUGUGUGUAGUGUAUACACUGCUACACACAGUGAUACACAUACACACAGUUACCCUGUAGUUCCGCCACUAGGAAUAUGGGGUCAGAAGUCUGGGCCUCCCAUGACCGCCGUGCUUCUGACAAAUGUAUAAGAAUUCUGCAUCAGACUCUGAGAGGUUCUGAAUUUGAU